AUCACUCCUACGGGGAGGCAGCAGUGGGGAAUAUUGCACAAUGGGCGCAAGCCUGAUGCAGCGACGCCGCGUGAGGGAUGACGGCCUUCGGGUUGUAAACCUCUUUCAAUAGGGACGAAGCGCAAGUGACGGUACCUAUAGAAGAAGGACCGGCCAACUACGUGCCAGCAGCCGCGGUAAUACGUAGGGUCCGAGCAUUGUCCGGAAUUACUGGGCGUAAAGAGCUCGUAGGUGGUUUGUCGCGUUGUUCGUGAAAACUCACAGCUUAACUGUGGGCGUGCGGGCGAUACGGGCAGACUAGAGUACUGCAGGGGAGACUGGAAUUCCUGGUGUAGCGGUGGAAUGCGCAGAUAUCAGGAGGAACACCGGUGGCGAAGGCGGGUCUCUGGGCAGUAACUGACGCUGAGGAGCGAAAGCGUGGGGAGCGAACAGGAUUAGAUACCCUGGUAG
rnacentral:rRNA from 1 species